GAAUGUGAGGGCGAUCUGGCUGUGACAUCUGUCACCCCAUUGAUCACCAAGGUUGAUUCGGCUGAUCUGGCUGGCUAGGCCGGUUUCCCCUUCCUCCCUCACCACUCCAUGUGCAUCCCUCCCAAAGGUGUGCUCUCCUUCGAAGAGAAUGGCCUUCCCAGAAUAGAGACGGACGCUCCCCUGCU
rnacentral:snRNA from 1 species